CAGCGUAGGGCGCAAGCGUUGUCCGGAAUUAUUGGGCGUAAAGAGCUCGUAGGCGGUCUGUUGCGUCGUGCUGUGAAAACCCGGGCUUAACCCCUGGCUUGCAGUGGAUACGGGCAGACUGGAGGUAUGCAGGGGAGAACGGAAUUCCUGGUGUAGCGGUGAAAUGCGCAGAUAUAAGGAGGAACACCGGUGGCGAAGGCGGUUCUCUGGGCAUUACCUGACGUGAGGAGCGAAAGUGUGGGGGAGGCGAAACAGGGA
rnacentral:rRNA from 1 species